GAUUAACGCUGGCGGCGUGCAUAACACAUGCAAGUCGAACGAUGAAACUUAACUGAUUUCUUCGGAAUGAUUUUAAGUGGAUUAGUGGCGGACGGGUGAGUAACGCGUGAGUAACCUGCCUUGGAGAAGGGGAUAGCCUUUGGAAACGAAGAAUAAUACCCUAUGAUAUGAUAAUAUCUCAUGAUAUUAUCAUCAAAGAUUUAUCGCUCUAAGGUGGACUUGCGUCUGAUUAGUUAGUUGGUGAGGUAACAGCUCACCAAGGCAGCGAUCAGUAGCCGGCUUGAGAGAGUGUACGGCCACAUUGGGACUGAGACACGGCCCAGACUCCUACGGGAGGCAGCAGUGGGGAAUUUUGCACAAUGGGGGAAACCCUGAUGCAGCGACGCCGCGUGAUUGAGAAGGCCUUCGGGUUGUAAAAAUCUUUUGUAUGGGAAGAAAAUGACAGUACCAUACGAAUAAGGACCGGCUAAUUACGUG
rnacentral:rRNA from 1 species